AUUAUUUGCGAAGUGAUUUUCAACAUGUUUUCUCUACAAUCGUUUUUACAAAAAAAAUUUGACAUGACUAUUAAGAUUGAUGACAUGUCAUUUGGUUAAAUAAGACAUGGAAAAUUACAUUUAAUGCUGAUAUAUAUUUUUGGAAAACUUUUUAAAAUAUAGCAAUAACUCAUAUAUUACAUUUAAUGUUGAUUUAUAUUUUUGCUAAACUUUUUAGAAUAUGGCAAUAGCUCAUGAAUCAUCACUAAAAUAAGUAUAUUCAAAUAUGACAUUUUGAAUUUCGAAAGAUUAUUUAAUUUUAAUUCAAAUAUGAUAAGUGGAUUAAUCACUAAAAUUAUUUUCUUUUAAUUAUGCUUAAUUAAAUGAUAUUAUAUUAAUUAUUCGUAAAAAUAAUAAAUAUAUAAUAUUAAUAAAUUACAUUUUUAAAUAUAAAUUUUAACUUUUAAAAAAUUCAUCACUGCACAUGGUGCAGGAAAAUACCUAGUACCAACUAAGGCUGAAGUGAAUAUAAAGUACUAAUGCUAUCCAAAAUUAAGUUUCAAAGUUUUAAUUUGGGUUUGAUUUUGUCGUAAAAAAGACGUAAAGUAAUAUGGUUUUUACGAGGAAAAGUGGUUUCCUUGUAAACUCGACGUAACUGUAACGUCUACUUUACGAAAAAUAAUUUACGUAUACAUAACAACGAAAUUUUCAGUCCACCAACUUUGUAGUUGUAACACAUUUUUUGUUUCGGCUACUAACUAAAUUUUCCAACUACCAGAUUCGAAAAUUUUCUAUAAAUAUGGAUGUUUGAAUAUCAUUUUCAAAGCACACCAAGAAGAAAAAUAAAUAAAAACGUGAAAAAAUAUGUCGGGCUCCGAGAAUAUUUUUGAGUUGCGGCGGUGGAUGUAUAUGCACAUAGAUGCUAACGAGAGAGUGAAAAAAGAAUACCUUGAAGGACUGGAGACAUUUAUGCAUCAAGUAGAUUCCACAUCGCUCGCCUUAGAAAGCGGUAAGAUGUUAUGUCCUUGUGAGAAAUGCAACAAUUCGAAAUUGACAAAUCGUGAAAAUGUUUGGAAGCAUUUAAUAAAUAGAGGUUUCACGCCAAAUUAUUAUAUCUGGUUUCAACAUGGAAAAUGUUAUAAUUAUGAGAAUGAAGUUAGUAGUAGUAAUAGCAAUUUUGAGGAAGACCCGGUUGAUCAUCAUUUGCAUAAUGAACAUAGUUACCUUCAGGAGGAGCAUAUGGUAGAUUAUGAUAGGGUUCAUGAUAUGGUAGCUAAUGCAUUUGUAGCUCAUGAUGAAGAUGAAGAACCAAACAUAGAUGCAAAAAGGUUUUAUGAAAUGUUAGAUGCUGCAAAUCAACCAAUCCACACUGGUUGUUGAGAAGGUCUCUCUAAAUUGUCGUUGGCUGCUAGAAUGAUGAAUAUUAAAAAUGAUCACAAUCUACCUGAAAGUUGCAUGAAUGAAUGGACAGACUUAUUUAAAGAGUAUUUGUCGGAAGACAAUGUGUCUGCUGAUUCUUAUUAUGAGAUUCAGAAACUGGUUUAUAGUCUUGGGUUGCCUUCGGAGAUGAUAGAUGUUUGCAUCGACAAUUGCAUGAUCUACUGGGGAGAUAAAGAUGAGAAGUUAGAAGAAUGUUGAUUCUGCAAGAAGCCACGAUUCAAGCCGCAAGGACGAGGACGUAACAGGGUACCAUACCAAAGGAUGUGGUACUUACCAAUUACAGACAUAUUGAAAAGAUUGUACCAAUCUGAGCAGACUGCUGGAAGGAUGAGAUGGCAUGGCGAGCAUACUUAGACGGAUGUUGAGAUGACUCAUCCAUCAGAUGCAAGAGCUUGAAAAUAUUUUAACAAAGUACAUCCGGAAUUCGCUCGCAAUAUCCGGAAUGUGUAUCUCGGAUUAUACACAGAUGGAUUUAGUUCAUUCAGAGUGUCAAGGAGACAAUAUUCAUUGUGGCCAGUUUUUCUUACGCCGUACAACCUGCCAACGGAGAUGUGCAUGCAACGGGAGUUGCUAUUCUUGACCAUAUUAAUACAUGGUCCGAACCAUCCAAAAAGAUCUCUGGAUGUUUUCCUACAACCACUGAUAAAAGAGUUGAAGGAUUUGUGGUCAACAGGGGAGAGGACGUAUGACUACUCAACGAAGACAAAUUUUACGAUGCGAGCGAUGUUUUUGUGGACCAUAAGUGAUUUUCCUACCUAUGGAAUGUUGUUUGGAUGGACUACACAUGGGAGAUUAGCUUGUCCAUAUUGUAAUGGAAACGACAUAUGCGUUUCAACUUAAGAAUGGUAAGAAGACAAGUUGGUUUGAUUGUCACCGUCAAUUUCUUUCCAUUGGCCAUCCUUACCGAAGAAACAAGAAAUUGUUUAGGUACAAAACGGUUGUGAGAGAAACUCCUCCUCCAUAUCUAACUGAAGAACAAAUUGAAGCACAAAUUAAUUACUAUGGAGCUUUGGAAACAGUUCCUCGUAGUGGUAAUUGGCAUGUCCCCGGUAAUAUGUCUGAUUAUUACGGUGUUCGGCACAACUGGCACAAGUAGUGUAUAUUUUGGGAGUUGCCAUAUUGGAAUAAUCUUCUUCUACACCACAGCCUCGAUGUGAUGCAUAUAUAGAAGAAUUUCUUUGAGAAUAUCAUGAAUACAACAUUGAAUGUCCCAGGAAAGACAAAAGACAACAUAAAAUCGAGGUUGAACUUGCCGGAUAUUUUCUCAAGAAGUGAGUUACAUAUAAAAAGCAAUGGACAAGUUUCCGUUCCGAUAAUCAGAUUGUAUUCAGAAAAAAGUCGGUGUUGUUCAACUGGGUGGCAUCAGAAGUGAAGUUUCCGAUGGGUAUGUUUCAAAUCUCUCUAGAUGUGUUGACAAGGGUCAAAAGUUUUCCGGGAUGAAGAGUCAUGAUUGUCAUGUCUUUAUUCAACGACUACUUCCCUUUGCAUUUACGGAGUUACUUCCAACAAACGUACAUGAAGCACUUUCAAGUAGUAUAUUAUAAUGCAUUAAUUUUAUAAUAUAUGAUUAAUAAUGUGUUUAAUUAAUUGUUUUGGAAUAUACAAAGCAUUGGAGCAUUUUUCAGGGAUCUGAGCACACACACUCUUAAAGAAGGUGUCAUGGAACAACUUCACGAGAACAUUCUCAUCUUAUUGUGCAACUUGGACAAGAUAUUUCCUCCCGGAUUUUUUGACGUCAUGGAAUCUAGUUGUCCACCUCCCAUAUGAAACAUUACUUCGUGGACAUGUACAUUACGGUUGGAUGUAUCAGUAUGAACGAGCCAUGAAAUAUUUGAAGGGAAAAGCAAAAAACCUCACAAAAGAUGAAGGUUCUAUAAUUGCUGGAAGUUUGACGGAAGAAACUUCUCACUUCACACCGUACUACUUUGCGUCAAAAGUACGUACCCGGAAAAGAGCUACAAAAAGAUAUGAUGAUGGUGGUGUCGCGCCAACAUAUGCAGUUGCUGGUGUUCCAGACAUCUUUAGCCAGAUUAGGCGAAUCUGUGGAAAAUCGAAAGAGGUUUGGUGGUCAAGUGAAGAAGUCGCUCAUAGUGCACACACAUAUAUUCUACUCAAUUGCGAUGAUCCACUGAUGCGUUAUUUUGAAAGCAUAUUUGUUUCUCAAGUCAAAGAAACAUUCUUAGGUAUAUCCACAAGUGACAGAGACAAAAGAAAAGAUCCACACUUUAUUAAGUGGUUGAAGAAUCAGAUAUUAACUCAAACUCUUAAUUUUUGCAUGAUCGAUCAAACUCUUUUUUCAUACAUGCUAUGUAUUUCAACGUUCUCUUUAUUUUUUCAGGUUGAUUAUGACGACGAUGCAGAUUAUCCUACGUGGUUUCACGAAGUAAUUCAAGCUCCACUUGCAAAGGUCACCACAUCACAUAUGUAUUUCACACGAGGCUAUACUUUUAACACAUGAGUAUGGUAGACAUCGGGCGACCAGUAACUGUGGAAUAUGUGUGAAAGGCGAAACAGAUCUUGCAUGAGAUUAUUGAAGUGGAAUUCUCGGGGUUAUUGAAGCUGAAAUGCGUCAUCUUCAAAUGUGAAUGGUUCGACCCCGUCGUCAACAGAGGUGUUCGGUUUAACAAAUUCGGUGUAGUUGAUGUCAAUGGUGGACGAAGUUUCUACGUUGUCUUUAUUUUUGCAGGUACAACAAAUUCGAGUCUUUCAUCUUAGCUUCACAAGCAGACCAAGUUAGCUUCUUUCCAUACCCUCGGAUGAGAGAAUCGAAAAUAAGUUGGUUAACCGUGAUCAAAGUUACACCUCGUGGACGAAUCAUCAGCGGAGAAGAACCACCGUUGCAAGAAGAACAAAUAAAUGAAUAAAUGAAGUCGAGGAACCUGAACAACAAAUUGAUGACAUCCUUCUCACUGUUCUGCAUAAUCAUGAGUACAAAGAUUUUACCAACGAUGCCACGAACGAAACUGUUGAAGAAGAGUUUAAUGAAAAUGAUGAUGUUUCUAGUGAUGACGAGAAUGUCGAUGUAUCCGAUUGAUGUAUUUGUUUUUAAUAUGAUUGAUUUUUAGAUUU